UACGUAGGGCGCGAGCGUUGUCCGGAUUUAUUGGGCGUAAAGAGCUCGUAGGCGGCUUGUCGCGUCGACCGUGAAAACUUGGGGCUCAACCCCAAGCCUGCGGUCGAUACGGGCAGGCUAGAGUUCGGUAGGGGAGACUGGAAUUCCUGGUGUAGCGGUGAAAUGCGCAGAUAUCAGGAGGAACACCGGUGGCGAAGGCGGGUCUCUGGGCCGAUACUGACGCUGAGGAGCGAAAGCGUGGGGAGCGAACAGG
rnacentral:rRNA from 1 species